AACGCAAGAAAUUUUAAGUAUUUAAGCAAGCAAUUUCAAUGCAUUUUCAAUUUAGUAAAUCCAAAGUAAGAACAUGGGUAAAAUGUCGAUUUUUGCAACAGUUGUUUUUGGUGUCCUGGCAUUCCUGGUGAAUGCUGCAUAUUGUCAGGUUAACUUAAAUCUCCCAGGUGUUGUCAAUGCAACUGUUUUACCAUCAGGAGUAGGAAAAUAAUUAAUGUAGUAAAUCGAAAUAUGUAGUUAAAAUUGAAAAAUUAUUAACAAUUAUGUUCUGAA